UUGAAGCUGGCCUCGUGGGCCUUGUUAUAUUACGAGAUGCCGCUCUUGUAUGCGGAGCAGUUUUCACAAGAGCUUCCAGCUUGGGUUGGCAGUGGAAAAGCUGGUCUGAUUUUGUAAACUUGGAUGAUGCUCAUAGGGAGAAGGUGGAGCCUCUCCUGAUUAGCAAAGUGAAUACAGUCCUCCAACUACUUUUAGUAGCUGCUGCUCUUCUACAACCAGAACUUGGAGAUGAACAAUCGGAAUUGUACAUAACAUACUUGAGUUGGUUAGUUGCUUCAACAACUGCCGCUUCUUUUACGGCCUACCUAAAACAGUAUCUUCACAGGAGAACACUGGCCUAACUAAUAAAAGGAAAAUAAAAUAUUAGGCAGGUAUUAUUUAUUGCUUCUUGUAUAAUAAGAUAACUCUAAUACGUAAUGAUUCUUGAACACCCACUUGUGUAUAAUAUAGGUAUUGAAGGGCUUGGAGA